rnacentral:misc_RNA from 1 species
GAUGAAGAACGCAGCGAAAUGCGAUGCGUAAUGUGAAUUGCAGAAUUCAGUGAAUCAUCGAGUCUUUGAACGCACAUUGCGCCCCCUGGUAUUCCGGGGGGCAUGCCUGUCCGAGCGUCAUUGCUGCCCUCAAGCACGGCUUGUGUGUUGGGCCUCCGUCCUCCUCCCGGGGGACGGGCCCGAAAGGCAGCGGCGGCACCGCGUCCGGUCCUCGAGCGUAUGGGGCUUCGUCACCCGCUCUUGUAGGCCCGGCCGGCGCUUGCCGACACAUCAAUCUUUUUUCCAGGUUGACCUCGGAUCAGGUAGGGAUACCCGCUGAACUUAAGCAUAUCAAUAAGCGGAGGA